GAUUAUUUGACAGCUGUCAUAGAACCAGGGAUGCUUAAUAAUGGCGUAAGAAAAAUGGUUAGCUUUAGGAAUACCUCUUAAUCGCUUAGUUAAUCCUUAAAAUGUCGUUAAAGUAACUUUUAUAUAGUGCCCAAAUCGCGAACUAAUUUAGAAUUAUUUUUCUAACAAACACAAAGUACCAUCAAAUGACUUUUCUUCACACCCGAUUACCCGGCCACACUAUACCCUCGAUAUAGUCCAAAAAGGAGGAGACACGUGUAUACAGGCCCGGUGUCUUGGUGGCACAACCAAA